UACGUAGGGGGCAAGCGUUGUCCGGAUUUAUUGGGCGUAAAGAGCGUGUAGGCGGCCAUACAGGUCAGCUGUGAAAACUCGAGGCUCAACCUCGAGACGUCGGUUGAAACCGUGUGGCUAGAGUCCGGAAGAGGAGAGUGGAAUUCCCGGUGUAGCGGUGAGAUGCGCAGAUAUCGGGAAGAACACCCGUGGCGAAGGCGGCUCUCUGGGACGGUACUGACGCUGAGACGCGAAAGCGUGGGGAGCGAACAGG
rnacentral:rRNA from 1 species